AGUCCAGACUCCUACGGGAGGCAGCAGUGGGGAAUAUUGCACAAUGGGGGAAACCCUGAUGCAGCGACGCCGCGUGAGUGAAGAAGUAUUUCGGUAUGUAAAGCUCUAUCAGCAGGGAAGAAAAUGACGGUACCUGACUAAGAAGCCCCGGCUAACUACGUGCCAGCAGCCGCGGUAAUACGUAGGGGGCAAGCGUUAUCCGGAUUUACUGGGUGUAAAGGGAGCGUAGACGGCAUGGCAAGUCAGAUGUGAAAGCCCGGGGCUCAACCCCGGGACUGCAUUGGGAACUGGCGUGCUGGAGUGCCGGAGGGGCAGGCGGAAUUCCUGGUGUAGCGGUGAAAUGCGUAGAUAUCAGGAGGAACACCGGUGGCGAAGGCGGCCUGCUGGACGGAUACUGACGCUGAGGCCCGAAAGCGUGGGGAGCGAACAGGAUUAGAUACCCUAGUAGUU
rnacentral:rRNA from 1 species